ensembl:lncRNA
CCUUGGAAGUUGAAGCACACGAUUAUGGUAAGGGGCGUUACAUUUCCAACACACGCUUGAGGUUUUUGGCCAAUCACAACACAAUGGGUCAGCUGACCAAUCAAAGCGCUCUGGACUGUUCGGAAGGAGGGGCUUUGGAGAAACCGGAACUCAAUCAGAGCGUUUCAGACACACUGGGAAUAGAGGUACUGCAAUAACAUACAUUGGUCCUGAUGCUCCCUGCCCUGCUUGUUUAGCUCCUUGUUUAGCCUCUUUCGUGCUUGGCCCCUUAACUGCUGCUUGCAGCUAUAUUUAU